CGUGGCCUAGUGGUGAAGACACCACGUUGGAAACGUGAUGGCUGUAGGUUCGAGCCCGUUCCUA
rnacentral:tRNA from 11 species